AUUGAACGCUGGCGGCAGGCCUAACACAUGCAAGUCGAACGGUAACAGGAAGAAGCUUGCUUCUUUGCUGACGAGUGGCGGACGGGUGAGGAAUGUCUGGGAAACUGCCUGAUGGAGGGGGAUAACUACUGGAAACGGUAGCUAAUACCGCAUAACGUCGCAAGACCAAAGAGGGGGACCUUCUGGCCUCUUGCCAUCGGAUGUGCCCAGAUGGGAUUAGCUAGGAGGGGGGGUAACGGCUCACCUAGGCGACGAUCCCUAGCUGGUCUGAGAGGAUGACCAGCCACACUGGAACUGAGACACGGUCCAGACUCCUACGGGAGGCAGCAGUGGGGAAUAUUGCACAAUGGGCGCAAGCCUGAUGCAGCCAUGCCGCGUGUAUGAAGAAGGCCUUCGGGUUGUAAAGUACUUUCAGCGGGGAGGAAGGGAGUAAAGUUAAUACCUUUGCUCAUUGACGUUACCCGAAGAAGAAGCACCGGCUAACUCCGUG
rnacentral:rRNA from 1 species